GCUGGCUGACCAGGAGGGCAAUGCGUCUCCCCCUUGCCCCGUCUGUGCUGCUCUAAUAACAUUGUGAGCUUUCAAGACUCGGUUUCCAAAGCACUGCCAGCAGGGCUGACUUUCCAGAAAAUGCCGCCACGGGGAGGCUGGGAGUGUUCUCAGUCCACCACAGGCAACACGGAGGAGGUCUGGUCUUUCUGAUGAGCCCUGAACAAGGCAAGAUUCCAAUUAGAGGACCCAGCUGGGCCUGCAGCACUUGCAUGGUCUCUGCCUCAGAGCACCCUCCUCUGUGAAGUUUCUGGAUGCCUCCAGACCUCAGUUCUUCCACUACCACACUGUCCCAACGUGCUAGAGCUGAGAGGUCAGGAUCUGGUGGUGUAGUUUGGGGAACGCGGGGGGAAAUGUCCCCAUAACUACUCGCCGAUUUAAAUGUUCAGAGGGGGAAGCCUGGGUGGCUCAGUUGGUUGAGUGCCUGACCUUGGCUCAGGUCACGAUCUCACAGU